CCUACGGGAGGCAGCAGUGAGGAAUAUUGGUCAAUGGGCGCGAGCCUGAACCAGCCAAGUAGCGUGAAGGAUGACUGCCCUACGGGUUGUAAACUUCUUUUAUAAAGGAAUAAAGUGAGGCACGUGUGCCUUUUUGUAUGUACUUUAUGAAUAAGGAUCGGCUAACUCCGUGCCAGCAGCCGCGGUAAUACGGAGGAUCCGAGCGUUAUCCGGAUUUAUUGGGUUUAAAGGGAGCGUAGAUGGGUUGUUAAGUAAGUUGUGAAAGUUUGCGGCUAAACCGUAAAAUUGCAAUUGAUACUGGAAGCCUUGAGUACAGUUAGGGUAGGCGGAAUUGGUGGUGUGGCGGUGAA
rnacentral:rRNA from 1 species